rnacentral:rRNA from 1 species
GGGGGGGGGGGGGGGGGGGGGGGGGGGGGGGGGGGGGGGCGGGGGGGGGGGGAGCGGGGGUCGGGGAUGUUGGCGGCGGGGGGGGGGGUAGCACGUGGGGAGGCUGCGUAUGGGACUGGGAUAACGUCGGGAACCCGUAUCUCGUGCCGGGUAAUAUUUUGCCCCACAUGUUUCAUAAUUGAAAUGCGUUCUUGCUUGCCCUUAUGUCGGGAUCCGCGCUGCAUUAGCUAUUUGGUAAGGUAACGGCUUACCAAGGCAACGAUGCAUAGCCGACCUGAGAGGGUGAUCGGCAACACUGGAACUGAGACACGGUCCAGACUCCUAAGGGAGGCAGCAGUAGGGAAUCGUCCGCAAUGGGCGAAAGCCUGACGGAGCAACGCCGCGUGAGUGAUGAAGUUCUUCGGAUCGUAAAACUCUGUUAUUAGGGAAGAACAUAUGUGUAAGUAACUGUGCACAUCUUGACGGUACCUAAUCAGAAAGCCACGGCUAACUACGUG